GACGUAGGUGGCGAACGUUAUCCGGAAUUAUUGGGCGUAAAGCGCGCGUAGGUGGCCAUGUAAGUCCGCUGUGAAAGUCAAAAGGCUCAACCUUUGAAAGCCGGUGGAUACUGCAUGGCUAGAGUACGGAAGAGGCGAGUGGAAUUCCUGGUGUAGCGGUGGAAUGCGCAGAUAUCAGGAGGAACACCAAUAGCGAAGGCAGCUCGCUGGGACGUUACUGACACUGAGGCGCGAAAGCGUGGGGAGCGAACAGG
rnacentral:rRNA from 1 species